rnacentral:tRNA from 1 species
AGGGAAAUGGCUCAGUGGUAAAGCACAUGCUUAGCACGCAUGAGGUCCUGGGUUCAAUCCCCAGUACCUCCA